rnacentral:rRNA from 1 species
AGGACGAACGCUGGCGGCGUGCUUAACACAUGCAAGUCGAGCGGAAAGGCCCUUCGGGGUACUCGAGCGGCGAACGGGUGAGUAACACGUGAGCAAUCUGCCCUUAGCUUCGGGAUAGCCCCGGGAAACCGGGAUUAAUACCGAAUACGACCUCGGCCGACAUCGGCCUUGGUGGAAAGUUUUUCGGCUAGGGAUGAACUCGCGGCCUAUCAGCUUGUUGGUGGGGUAAUAGCCUACCAAGGCGACGACGGGUAGCCGGCCUGAGAGGGCGACCGGCCACACUGGGACUGAGACACGGCCCAGACUCCUACGGGAGGCAGCAGUGGGGAAUAUUGCGCAAUGGGCGAAAGCCUGACGCAGCGACGCCGCGUGGGGGAUGAAGGCCUUCGGGUUGUAAAGCACUUUCGCACGUGACGAUGAUGACGGUAACGUGAGAGAAGCCCGGCUACUCGCGCCAGCAGCCGC